ACCAGACUCCUACGGGAGGCAGCAGUGGGGAAUAUUGCACAAUGGGGGAAACCCUGAUGCAGCAACGCCGCGUGAGUGAAGAAGUAUUUCGAUAUGUAAAGCUCUCUCAGCAGGGAAGAAGAUGACGGUACCUGAUUAAGAAGCCCCGGCUAACUACGUGCCAGCAGCCGCGGUAAUACGUAGGGGGCAAGCGUUAUCCGGAUUUACUGGGUGUAAAGGGAGCGUAGACGGCAGGGCAAGUCUGGAGUGAAAGCCCGGGGCCCAACCCCGGGACUGCUUUGGAAACUGCCAUGCUAGAGUGCUGGAGAGGUAAGCGGAAUUCCUAGUGUAGCGGUGAAAUGCGUAGAUAUUAGGAGGAACACCAGUGGCGAAGGCGGCUUACUGGACAGUAACUGACGUUGAGGCUCGAAAGCGUGGGGAGCAAACAGGAUUAGAUACCCUGGUAC
rnacentral:rRNA from 1 species